rnacentral:rRNA from 1 species
GGAUUAGAUACCCUGGUAGUCCACGCCGUAAACGAUGUCGACUAGCCGUUGGGGUCCUUGAGGCCUUAGUGGCGCAGCUAACGCAGUAAGUCGACCGCCUGGGGAGUACGGCCGCAAGGUUAAAACUCAAAUGAAUUGACGGGGGCCCGCACAAGCGGUGGAGCAUGUGGUGUUUAAUUCGAUUCAACGCGAAGAACCUUACCUGGGCUUGAACUACAGGCAUUAGCUACCUGAAAGGGAUAGUGAUCCUACUCUGUAGGAACCUGUAGAGGUGCUGCAUGGCUGUCGUCAGCUCGUGCCG